GCCGGGCGUGGUGGCGGGCGCCUGUAGUCCCAGCUACUCGGGAGGCUGAGGCAGGAGAAUGGUGUGAACCCAGGAGGUGGAGCUUGCAGUGAGCCGAGAUCGCGCCACUGCACUCCAGCCUGGGUGACAGAGUGAGACUCCUUCUCAAAAAAAAAAAAAAAAAAAGACAGGCUCUCACUUUGUUGCCCAAGCUGGAGUGCAGUGGUGUGAUCUGGGUUCACUGCCACCUCUGCUUCCCAGGUACAAGCGAUUCUCGUGCC
rnacentral:SRP_RNA from 10 species